CUCAAUUUGUAGAAGAUGAAGAUUGUGCAGAAAAUCACAUCAAUCAUCACUGUGAUGAUGGUUGGAAAGGAUGUAAUAUUAUAUGCCAUUAUUGGACCUGAGCAACCUGUGGCUAAGGGAACAAUUGUUUCAACUAAUCCUAACACUUUGCUAGGAGGUGUGCCUCUUGGGAAAGAAUAUUGUGAAGUUAUUGUGAACAUUGUAUUGAAAAGGGAUGCCAUUUUGCCUUGUCCUUAUGGUUAUGUAGAGACGAUGGCUGAUGCUCAUCAAAUGUCAGUUGCUUGGCUUUAUAAGAGGAUGAAGAUUAGCAAGGCAUCAGGAUCACCCCAAGGUAUUGGAGGU